CUGAAUAGGCGGGCCUCGAUCCCGCG
rnacentral:tRNA from 1 species